GCCUCAUUGGCCCGGAGGCAGAGCGUCUGUAUUGUAAAUAGAAUGCCUCUGGUUCGAUUCUAGCAUGAGGCA
rnacentral:tRNA from 1 species